UGUUUCGGCUAGGGGGCCAUCCCGGCUUACCAACCCGAUGCAAACUGCGAAUACCGGAGAAUGUUAUCACGGGAGACACACGGCGGGUGCUAACGUCCGUCGUGAAGAGGGAAACAACCCAGACCGCCAGCUAAGGUCCCAAAGUCAUGGUUAAGUGGGAAACGAUGUGGGAAGGCCCAGACAGCCAGGAUGUUGGCUUAGAAGCAGCCAUCAUUUAAAGAAAGCGUAAUAGCUCACUGGUCGAGUCGGCCUGCGCGGAAGAUGUAACGGGGCUAAACCAUGCACCGAAGCUGCGGCAGCGACACUGUGUGUUGUUGGGUAGGGGAGCGUUCUGUAAGCCUGUGAAGGUGUGUCGUGAGGCAUGCUGGAGGUAUCAGAAGUGCGAAUGCUGACAUAAGUAACGAUAAAGCGGGUGAAAAGCCCGCUCGCCGGAAGACCAAGGGUUCCUGUCCAACGUUAAUCGGGGCAGGGUGAGUCGACCCCUAAGGCGAGGCCGA
rnacentral:rRNA from 1 species